CAGCGUUUCAUCAAGACGUGGCUGUUGAAGUUUGUUGGCCUCGAUGGAGGUUAGGAAAGGCACUUCACACAUGACCCUGGGAAGCCUACCGUCAUUGCCUCAUCUCUUGCUGCAGCCCCUAAAUCAUCGCCCCACCUCUGCUGCCCUGGCCAGCCCUAUGCCCAAUAGAGCCUUGCUGAACUCGCCUCCUAGUUUGUGGUGCAUUACUGAACAGCAGUAACUUGAAAAGCUGAACUGAAAAAUAAAUGGUUUGACUUGGUGUAUUUAAAAAUAAAGUUAUGAAAAUUG